rnacentral:tRNA from 1 species
GGGGUAAAAUUGGGGUAAUCAUUUCGUUAAAACGCUAAAAUCUUUAUAGAAUAAGGCUUUUCUCCAGAUUCUGGUUCUGAGGGUCGGGGGUUCGAAUCCCUCCAUGCUCG